rnacentral:lncRNA from 1 species
UAUAUGAAAUUUGAUCAACAGCAACAAAAGGCCAAUGUAACUGGGGGGUUACUGCUCUGCUUGUGAUGUUUUAACUUUUGUGACAGGCAGAGGCUUAAUUUACACUGGGAUUUCCUGCAUGAUUUACAAAGUAGGAGUGAAACCCCUUAUAUCCAUUCUGAUAGAUCUCCCCCUUCAUCAAUCAGUGCUGACAGUGCUAAUCUGUGAAGAAUUAGUGACCUAGAAGUUCAAGUCAGCUAUUCCCUUCAUCUGGCUAGAACACUAUUCAUGGCAACUGCGUAUUAGAGGUACCAAUAAAUGUCAGUGUGCAGUGUGAAGAAAAAUGACCGAUUGCACAUUUUUGCAUGAGAAAGUAGUUUAGAACAAAAAGCCUGAUUAUCAAAUCAUCAGCAUGAAAACGGAAUGCAGAUGACAGAGUAGUCUGUAAAGAACUUGAUUUUUGUUAACUAAAUUGUUUCUGUUCCCCUUUCAGUUAGUUGGUGUUACUUACAGCGCACCAUAGCUGGUGUCUAUCUACAGAUCAGCUUGCAGCUUCAUGUGAGGCAUCCAGUUUCUUGAGGGAUGAAAAGCAUAGCUAGUGUGGAGCUUUAAGGAUCAGCUAUGUCCAACCCAUUACUGAAUUGGCUUAGCAGCACAGCAUAGACUGAAAAGGUCACAGUGAUUUUGGAUACUCAAAGUGCCUCCACCUGGCUCUUUUCUGACUGAGUUUGGGAAUAUCUGUUGCCAUCAGGUGACCAUUUCAAAGGGUACUUACCAAUGAAGCUAUUGAAGACAUGUGCAGAACACAAAGAAAAGAAAUAAAUCUUCAGUCCUUCCUUGAAGAACAGCAGCAUAUUUUCUCAGCAGGCAAAUAUAUGAGAUUUUCAGCUGAAUCAUAUUCACUUUGGUUGUGCAUCUGAAGGUACAACUGAAUUCCUGAGCAGAGGUGCAAAUUGAAGCUCCAACCCAGCAUUACAUUGAGACAAAACUCUUCUUUCUACAUGCCUUCCUUUGUGAAUAAAG